CCGGAACAGCACCACACUAAUUAAUCCUAUCUUUUUGCAGAAAAGACCCUCCCAUUUCGACUACCAUCUCAUUUCAGUCCUCUCCUCCCUCGAUCCCUUCCUUCCUUCCUCCCCCCAAUCUCCAAACCGAAAGGCGCCGCCCGCACUCGCCCCAGAUCUAUGGUUCGCGCGCCGCCCCCUCCACUCCCCCGCCGCCGCAUCGUCUCGCCGGCGC
rnacentral:lncRNA from 1 species